GAUGAACGCUGGCGGCGUGCCUAAUACAUGCAAGUCGAGCGAAGCGGGCACGGGUGAGUAACACGUGGAUAACCUCCUAUAUGACUUGGAUAACCUCGGGCAACCGGAGCUAAACCGGAUACUUAUAGAUUGAUCCGCGCUGCAUGAGCUAGUUGGUAAGGUAACGGUUUACCAAGGCAACGAUGCAUAGCCGACCUGAGAGGGGGAUCGGCCACACUGGAACUAGGACAAGGUCCAGACGCCUACGGGAGGCAGCGGUAGGGAAUGUUCCGCAAUGGGCGAAAGCCUGGCGGAGCCACGCCGCGUGUGUUGUGAAGGUCUUCGGAUCGUAAAACUCUUUUAUUAGGGAAGCGGUACCUGAUCAGAAAGCCACGGCUAACUACGUGCCAGCAGCCGCGGUAAUAC
rnacentral:rRNA from 1 species